UUUUCUUAAUCUCUCUCAUUCUUCUUCUAUUUUGUCCAAUUUUUCUCUCUUCAAAACAGAGGAAGAGUAUUUGCAUAAAUUUUUAUUUAUUUAUUAUGAUUUCAUGUUUUUUUUAGCUACAACUCCCUUUUAUCUACCUCAAUAUUUAUGUUUUUUUUGUUCUCGAUUUCCGGUGGUUAAUUUGUUUUCCUGGGUUUUAUGAAGGAAAUAUGAAUUAGAGGAGAGAGAAAUUUAAACGAUCGAGUUUGGAAGGUUUAAUUUACUCGAGUUUCUUGAAUUUCUCUAUUAUAUAUGAGAAAGCCCAAAUGACAGCUGCCAUUUCAUAUAUGAGAAAGUAGAGAGUAGAAAAGGAAGGGAAGAUAGUGAUGAGUCCUAACAAAAUCUCAGGGUUCUUAAGAAGGAAGGGAAAGUUGAGUAUAUCAUUGCCUUGCAGUGCCUUUUCUCUGUAAUUAUAUUUUUCGGUUCCUAGAAGAGGAAAGAGAUCUUUAGUUGACGAACCUUUCUUCAUCCCUUGUUUAUUGUAUCUGAAUAUAUGAUUCUCUCAUCAAUCUACAAGUGCUUCUUCGAAGCUCUUUUUAUUA